CAGCCGCCGCGGUAAUACGUAGGUGGCGAGCGUUGUCCGGAAUUAUUGGGCGUAAAGGGAGCGCAGGCGGACAUAUAAGUCCAUCUUAAAAGUGCGGGGCUCAACCCCGUGAGGGGAUGGAAACUGUAUGCCUUGAGUGCAGGAGAGGAAAGCGGAAUUCCCAGUGUAGCGGUGAAAUGCGUAGAUAUUGGGAGGAACACCAGUGGCGAAGGCGGCUUUCUGGACUGUAACUGACGCUGAGGCUCGAAAGCCAGGGGAGCGAACGGGAUUAGAGACCCCCGUAGUCCCUGUCUCUUAUACA
rnacentral:rRNA from 1 species